AUACCGAUAAUUUUAUGACGUUAGUUCUUGCUUCAUCAGCAAAAACAUUUCUUAGAAUACUCCUCCGUUAAAAGUCACAUCAACUACCUUGUACUUUGUAAGGCAAAUUAGUGCGUAACUUAAUGCAAGCAUAUUCAAUGGUUAUCAUUUUAUCCUUUUCAUAGAUGGAAAAUGGAACACAAUACUAAGGCAGGCAGACAAGACAAAACUGUAUUACAGAUGUAAUAUGACAUACGUAUAAUACAUGCAUACAUAUGAUAUGUAUGUAUGGACCGACAUAUGUGACUGUUGUGUUUCUAGCUAGAAAUUCCUUGCAGAUGUGAAAUCAGUAAAUGCUUACAUAAUUUUUCUUUAGAAGUAACUGAAUUCAAAUUUGAAUCAGAAACCAUUGGAAAGAUCAGAAGUAUCUCAGAAGAAUUUAUACCCAAACCACCACUCAUCGUCAGCUCCUGCUCAGUACUAACAAGGAUUUUCCUUCCUGCCUUCCUUCAAACCAAUAGAACAAAAUGUUUAUUCCAGAAAAUCAGUUCAGAGAAUAUUAUUCUGCAUAGGACUUCUUUUCACAGGUGCACAGAACUCCCCGAUCAAGUCAGCCUCUUAACAUAGUUAAAUUAUUCUUUGUGAUUUCUUUAGACUAAAUUUUUAUUGUUGUUGUUGUUUGUUUGCCAUGAUAACAGAAGUGGAAAAGUGUAAUGCUUUAAUAAGCUAAAAUCUGUCACAAGAAUUAAUAAAAAUAGGGGCCUGUUUUGAAUAUUCUACUCA
rnacentral:lncRNA from 1 species